rnacentral:lncRNA from 1 species
GGAGGAAAAGUGCUUCUUUUUUCCUGAUGCUCAAGCAAGCUGUUUUGGUCAAUGAGACAUUUUUGCAAGAGGAAAAAAAACAUAAUUCUCACCAAUCUCUGCAGAUAUGAAGUAUCACUUUUCAGGAUUGAAUAUACAAGAGAGUUUCUCACCUCAAGGAUUCAAAAUUUUAAUGGAUGAAAACUAUACAUAAAAGAGGUUCAAGAAAAGGAACAGUGAGUCAGAGCAUGUGUGUCCUUGUCAUGUUUCUGCCAUAUGGAGGUGCUCAGCCAUAUGGAGGAAGAAGAGAAGAGCCAGAAGCACUUGCUGUACAUGACAAGAGGCUAGGGACUUUUCUCCUCUUCUUUCUUGGGGAAAGGAGCUCUUCUGAGGCUUUCCAGUCCAGGGAGAACCUCUUUGUCAAUCUGCUCUUUUUGAAUUUGAUUGAAGCAAGAUUCUACACUGAUGUGAAUUUCCAUCUCCUUUUCCUCAAAUCCUUCAGGCAAAGGUAUGAGUUCAUAAUCUUCCCUGGGUCCUGAAGUUACCUUUUCGAGACUUCUUAUCAGAGGGGUGAGGAAUUUUGGCCCAGUAGGUUCUUUCUCCUUCAGCCAUAAAUCCUUCAUUUCCAUCAUCAUCAGUAUCCUCAUCACCUGUAGAGGUAGGGAUAAUGAAAAAAAGAUGUAGUGGUGGGGAACAAACUCCUUCCUUUUCUACUGGAGAAAAACAUAUCAGAUCAGGUCCUCAGUUUGGCCUGUGGGCAAAAGUCUUUCUCUGGGUGCUCCAUUUAGUAUUAGUUGAACAGCUUUGCUCCACAGAUUUGGAGGUUAUCUAGAAUAUAACUUCUUCAUUCUCCUGCCAAAGUUGAGUUUGAUAUCAGCCUGGCUCUUUUCCUGUCCAGGGCCCUGGAGGUGGUAAUAUUCCUUAAGGCUGGGCUGGAUCCCAGGGAGUAUAAUAGGCAAAAAACUGGAAGGAUAUGAUUGAAAGUGUCUCAUCUGGAAACUUAACCAGCUUCUUGU